GGGCCUUAUACGGAUAGCUCAGUCGGUAGAGCAUAAGACUCAUGAUCCCAGGGCUGUGGGUUCGAGCCCUGAAAGAUUCC